rnacentral:rRNA from 1 species
GACGAACGCUGGCGGCGUGCCUAAUACAUGCCAGUAGAACGCUGAAGGAGGAGCUUGCUUCUCUGGAUGAGUUGCGAACGGGUGAGUAACGCGUAGGUAACCUGCCUGGUAGCGGGGGAUAACUAUUGGAAACGAUAGCUAAUACCGCAUAAUAGUAGAUGUUGCAUGACAUUUGCUUAAAAGGUGCAAUUGCAUCACUACCAGAUGGACCUGCGUUGUAUUAGCUAGUUGGUGGGGUAACGGCUCACCAAGGCGACGAUACAUAGCCGACCUGAGAGGGUGAUUCGCCCCCCCGGGACUGAGACACGGCCCAGACUCCUACGGGAGGCAGCAGUAGGGAAUCUUCGGCAAUGGACGGAAGUCUGACCGAGCAACGCCGCGUGAGUGAAGAAGGUUUUCGGAUCGUAAAGCUCUGUUGUAAGAGAAGAACGAGUGUGAGAGUGGAAAGUUCACACUGUGACGGUAUCUUACCAGAAAGGGACGGCUAACUACGUG